GGUGGAGCGAUUUGUCUGGUUAAUUCCGAUAACGAACGAGACUCUGGCCUAUUAAAUAGACGGUAUAUUUACUAGUAUAUCGCGCUUCUUAGAGGGACAAGCGGCGUCUAGCCGCAUGAAAUAGAGCAAUAACAGGUCUGUGAUGCCCUUAGAUGUCCGGGGCUGCACGCGCGCUACACUGAAAGAAUCAGUGGGCGUUCUACCUAGUCCGGAAGGACCGGGUAACCCAAGUAAAUUCUUUCGUGCUUGGGAUAGGGAAUUGCAAUUAUUUCCCUUAAACGAGGAAUUCCCAGUAAAUGCGGGUCAUAAGCUCGCGUUGAAUACGUCCCUGCCCUUUGUAC
rnacentral:rRNA from 1 species